CAGUCUGGAGUGGGUCCUGCUCGGAGCUGAACACAGCAGCGUAGCAGCUCAGACGCUUCUUUGGAGACCCAGUCGAUUGCUCGUUCCUAGUAAUGCCUCUCUGUCUAGGACUAACCGGUUCAUCCGAUUGUUAAACAGCCUCAGCAACCCACCCAAUGAGACCAUAAUUUAAAGCUCAAACCUCAAAAUCAUUCUCAUCGUACUUCUCUCAACCUGAUCCAACGCAUCAAUGUUCUUUUGAAGAUGGGUCCGAUAGCAACGGAAGCCUUGAAUCUCCAGACUAGUCCUGGAGAGCUGGCUCUUCUUCUCAUCUCCUCAAGUUGUCGGUCGAAGUAUUUCACAAUUCUGAUUUUCCUAUGGGAAUCCAAUUUCAUAAUGCCACGGAACUGUACAA